UCUACUGCAGUGUACAUGUUGCUUGUCUCACAACAGGAGAUUACCACAGACUGAUAAGAUCUUGUCUGCUUUAUAUUUAGAAUCUCUACCAAGAGGUCAGCCAAUGAAAAUAAAGUCAGUGAACUACUUCUGGGGGCUGUGCAUGUACCACAAAAAGUAAUCCUUAACUUUUGGGUUUUUUUUAUCAGAGUAACCUUUAAAAUUUAUGUGUAUCUAAAUGGAAUAAAAUCUUACUCUAGUACAGAAAUAGUUUCAACAUCCUAGAUGUAUCCUUCAUUAGCUGACUGUAAAUGACACAUUUGCCCAAGAAUAUCAAAAUUUCAAAUCUAAACAGGAAGUUCUUUGAGAGCAGGAUGGAGUUAUUUCACUACAAAGAAGUUUAUUGAUAUAGCUCUUUGUUUACUAUGUGCAGUUUAUAUUUAACAUGGAAGUUUAAGAGUAAUGAAAAGAAUACAAAUGGUAUUCCCGUAUAGCACCAUAUGUGUAUAUUAAGUAUGGCACACAUGAAUGAAUUGGGACCUUCGUUAUCAACGCAUUGUGUUCAAAGAAGACUUAAUGAAUCCAGCAGUUCAAAAACAUGUUUUGCAGUGAGACGAAUGGUGGCAAAUGAUGGCUUUGUGGCAGUUAGUGAAAAACUGUGGCAUUUUACACUGAUGGUGGCUAACAUUUACAGAAAAUUUCUCAACCAACAGUGACAUUCAGUUGAAAGUAGUAGCAUAUCUUACACUGACUAUACAUCAGAAGAUUGUUGAAAAACCCAUGGCAAAAAGUGGAAAAUACUGAUAUACUUCAAUGACUUUGGAACUGAGUAGAAAAUGGUGACAUUUUAGCACCAUAUUGUGUGUAUACUUUUUCUGGCAUCCGCGCAGUCCGGUCAGGAUCCAUGGUUUCUCUGGUUGCAAUAGCAUUUGAAAGCGAACAGCAUGGAUCCUGACCAGAUCGAGCAGAUGCGCAGACUGGUCUGGAUCCAUGCUGGUCGCAAAGCCACUAUCUUGGUUUUCUCCUGGCGCGGCUCAUAUAUAAAUUUGUUUCAUGCAUGUAAAUAAUGUUUUGUUUAUGGUAUUUUUUCAGCACAGGUAAUGAAACACUAAAAAAACAUAAAAUAUUUUGUUAGUGUUUUGUUUAAAUUUGUAACCUAGCUCUUUUGCAUAUCAUAUGUUUUGUUGGUAUUUUGUUAGCAGUGUUUUGUUAGUGUUUUCUUUAGCACAUAUAAUGAAACACUAACAAAACAUCAAGUAUUCUGUUAGUGUUUUGUAUAAACCUGUAACAUAAUUUGCAUAUCAUGUUUUGUUAGUG